rnacentral:rRNA from 1 species
CCCGGUGAAGUUUUAACGGCCGCAGUUAGAAGCUGUGCUAAGGUAGCGUAGUCAGUUGUCCCUUAAUUGGGGAAAGGAAUGAAUGGUUUGACGUGAGAGAUGCUGUCUCCGGUAAAGUAAAAGAAGUUUUCUUCUCAGUGAAAAGCCUGGGAUAAAAUUAAAAGACGAGAAGACCCUUUCGAGCUUGAUUAUAGAAAAGAAUUUUCUUUUCCGGAAGUUUGGUUGGGGCAACCUAGGAGCAAGAAAAGACUCCUUUAUGGUAUAAAGAUCCUAAACUUUAGAAUAAAGAAAAAGCUACCGUAGGGAUAACAGCGUUAUCUUUUCUGAGAGAACAUAUUGAAGGAAAGGUUUGCGACCUCGAUGUUGAAUUAAGGUUUCCGUUAGGCGCAGAG